CACGGACCGCACGAACGUUAUUCGGUAUCACUGGGCUUAAAGGGUGCGUAGGCGGCUUUGCAAGUUGGGUGUGAAAGCCCUCGGCUCAACCGAGGAAUUGCGCUCAAUACUGCCGAGCUCGAGAGAGACAGAGGUAAGCGGAACUAAUGGUGGAGCGGUGAAAUGCGUUGAUAUCAUUAGGAACACCGGUGGCGAAGGCGGCUUACUGGGUCUUUUCUGACG
rnacentral:rRNA from 1 species